GUAAAUAAUAAUUAUCAUAAUCUUUUGAUUGUGGAAUUGGGCUUUUAUUUCAUUUUAAUGAUUUAUGGCCUUAAAUUUAUGUUACGCUUGUUUAAUGAAAUUCGACCGAAUGGAGCAAUUAAACAUUCUCUCGUUAGGCGAAUUCAUCAAGCAAUUACGAUUUUUUGGCCGCCGAAGCACUUUUUAACAAGUGCUUGGCCGAGAUCGUGAAUUUUUUUAAC
rnacentral:misc_RNA from 1 species